UCAUCACACCAUCUCAAGAGAUCAAUAGUAUUCCUACUCGGAAUCUCAUCAACAUCCGACAUUAUCAACAGAUCAUCAUCCGAUAUCCCUGCAACUUUGAUAAGCUGGUCCAAAGCAACUCGCUGGUACGCUUCCUCAACAAAAGGAUUCUCACCCUUCUUGAACCUCCCACCAAUGGUGCCAUAUGUCAACCUAGGCUCAACAAACUUGAACUGCUCUCUAUGAUUAGCAAAAUACAAAAGCUUCUCAGUUCCAGUGAAGGUGGAAUUCGAUUCCAAGAGGAUGAACUGUGUAACAUAAGGGUAGAGCUCCUUCCACCGCAUCGUGAGGAUGUCCAUCUCAUUGCUGAACAACACGGCAUCAUAGACUCGCCUAGGGAACUCACGAAUCUUCCAUCCAUGGAGCUUGCAUAGAUUCUCCAUCGUGACAUUCUCGUUGUAGUAAUGUGGUAUCUCGUUGAAUCCUUUGGGAGGCGACUCCCAUAGUGGCCUAAGGAAGUAGGAGAUCUGCUGGCCGUGUAAGUAAACCCCAUAUACAACAGUUGGAACUAGAAUGAAGAAGAACAGUAAAGUCUUUAGGUCGAAUCCGCGGAGAAUGCACUUGAUUCGGGACAUGCUCAACACCCUUCCUGAGUCCUGGAAUCACAAAAGCAACAAAUCCACAUUCAGAACAAAGCUGAUUCAUUUCAGGUAAAGACAUGUUCUUUAUGGCCAUUGAAACUAUAUACAACAAGUCAGUAAGCUUUUAGAUUCUGAAACAGCUCACAAACGAGACCAAAUUGAAAGACCUUAGAUUAAAGAUUGAAGCUUUGCAUCUCAAAAAGCAAAUCUACAGAGCAAUCAGCAAGAGAAACCAAAUCCCUGAGCUCAAAAUUCUAUAUUGCUUGAGAAAUGAAACUUAAAUUGAAGAUCGAAAAGGGAAAUGAAAAGCUCAAUAGAAACAGAUCAAAUCAAACUCAUGUACAAAUCUGAAAAAAAAACAGAGAUUAGGGAAAAAGCCAAUCUCACCUGGCCACAAACAUCGGCACAGAUAUCAUCUGUCUUCUUGGAGCAGUAAUGGCCGCCAUUCUCCCCCCUCAUCCACACCCCUUUUUUGACAGCCAGCCCAAAUACGAGNNNNNNNNNNNNNNNNNNNNNNNNNNNNNNNNNNNNNNNNNNNNNNNNNNNNNNNNNNNNNNNNNNNNNNNNNNNNNNNNNNNNNNNNNNNNNNNNNNNNNNNNNNGCUUGGCUGUAAUAGUGGCAAAUCCACUGGAGAAGUUCGUAUCUUGCAUUUGAAGUAACCGAGAUGCACACCCUUUACAUUGGGUCACCCACUUUCUCUCAAACAAUGUCCAGGCAAUAGGAACUUGUAGUCAUCAGCAUUCUCCAAGAGAAAGGAUGGUAAAUGCACUGCCGAAUACGAAUGAGGAACCGGUCCCAUCUUUCCGAUAAUCUCCUUGAAAGUAUACUCCUCGGGGAGCAUAUCGAACAAGUCCGAACCUUUACAUAUCACCUUCUGGAUUCUCUUGGGGUCCAAGUAACGCUUGAACCUCACCCUGUCAAAGUGACUAUAAGCCUUCAUCUUGAACACAAACUCGCUCACACGACGAAAGCAGAAGCUACAAUGCCACCCGGCAUCUGCCAGAAUAUCAUCCGCCUGUCGAUAGUGAGCAUACCUCGUCUUCCCCAUCUUGUACCUAUGCACAGAAGCCCUCCAACUAUUGUUAUCCACGAGAAACUCGAACGAGUAGAGAUAGUUCCUCAACCGGAGAUGAAGCACCUGAGGUAUAUCAUCACACCAUCUCAAGAGAUCAAUAGUAUUCCUACUCGGAAUCUCAUCAACAUCCGACAUUAUCAACAGAUCAUCAUCCGAUAUCCCUGCAACUUUGAUAAGCUGGUCCAAAGCAACUCGCUGGUACGCUUCCUCAACAAAAGGAUUCUCACCCUUCUUGAACCUCCCACCAAUGGUGCCAUAUGUCAACCUAGGCUCAACAAACUUGAACUGCUCUCUAUGAUUAGCAAAAUACAAAAGCUUCUCAGUUCCAGUGAAGGUGGAAUUCGAUUCCAAGAGGAUGAACUGUGUAACAUAAGGGUAGAGCUCCUUCCACCGCAUCGUGAGGAUGUCCAUCUCAUUGCUGAACAACACGGCAUCAUAGACUCGCCUAGGGAACUCACGAAUCUUCCAUCCGUGGAGCUUGCA
rnacentral:lncRNA from 1 species